AACGCUGGCGGCGUGCCUAACACAUGCAAGUCAACUUGACUGAAGGAGCAAUCUGACAGUAGAGUGGCGCAGGGGUGCGUAACGCGUAAGUAACUUGCCCAAGGUAAGGAAUAAACGUCGAGAAAUCGGCGCUAAUACCUCAUAAUGUAGCGGAUCCGCAUGGAUAUGUUGUUAAAGGUUUACCGCCUUGGGAUAGGCUUGCGUCUGAUUAGCUAGUUGGUGUGGUAACGGCACACCAAGGCUACGAUCAGUAACUGGUCUGAGAGGAUGAUCAGUCACACUGGAACUGAGACACGGUCCAGACUCCUACGGGAGGCAGCAGUGAGGAAUAUUGGGCAAUGCUCGAAAGAGUGACCCAGCAACGCCGCGUGGAGGAUGAAGGUAUUCUAUAUCGUAAACUCCUGUGAGAGCAGACGAAAGACAGAUUAUUAAUCUGGAUGACUGUAUGCUCAGAGGAAGCCCCGGCUAACUACGUG
rnacentral:rRNA from 1 species